AUCCUUAGCUGGUCUGAGAGGAUGAUCAGCCACACUGGGACUGAGACACGGCCCAGACUCCUACGGGAGGCAGCAGUGGGGAAUAUUGGACAAUGGGCGAAAGCCUGAUCCAGCAAUGCCGCGUGAGUGAUGAAGGCCUUAGGGUUGUAAAGCUCUUUUACCAGGGAUGAUAAUGACAGUACCUGGAGAAUAAGCUCCGGCUAACUCCGUGCCAGCAGCCGCGGUAAUACGGAGGGAGCUAGCGUUGUUCGGAAUUACUGGGCGUAAAGCGCGCGUAGGCGGCGUUUCAAGUCAGAGGUGAAAGCCUGGAGCUCAACUCCAGAACUGCCUUUGAAACUAGAACGCUAGAAUCUUGGAGAGGUCAGUGGAAUUCCGAGUGUAGAGGUGAAAUUCGUAGAUAUUCGGAAGAACACCAGUGGCGAAGGCGACUGACUGGACAAGUAUUGACGCUGAGGUGCGAAAGCGUGGGGAGCAAA
rnacentral:rRNA from 1 species